rnacentral:rRNA from 1 species
AACGAACGCUGGCGGCGUGCUUAACACAUGCAAGUCGAACGGUGAAGCAGAGCUUGCUCUGUGGAUCAGUGGCGAACGGGUGAGUAACACGUGAGCAACCUGCCCUGGACUCUGGGAUAAGCGCUGGAAACGGCGUCUAAUACUGGAUACGAGACGUGGCCGCAUGGUCAACGUUUGGAAAGAUUUUUUGGUUCAGGAUGGGCUCGCGGCCUAUCAGGUUGUUGGUGAGGUAAUGGCUCACCAAGGCGUCGACGGGUAGCCGGCCUGAGAGGGUGACCGGCCACACUGGGACUGAGACACGGCCCAGACUCCUACGGGAGGCAGCAGUGGGGAAUAUUGCACAAUGGGCGAAAGCCUGAUGCAGCAACGCCGCGUGAGGGAUGACGGCCUUCGGGUUGUAAACCUCUUUUAGCAAGGAAGAAGCGAAAGUGACGGUACUUGCAGAAAAAGCGCCGGCUAACUACGUGCCAGCCGCCGCAGUAACAC